rnacentral:rRNA from 1 species
CCUACGGGUGGCAGCAGUGGGGAAUAUUGCACAAUGGGCGAAAGCCUGAUGCAGCAACGCCGCGUGAAGGAAGAAGGGUUUCGGCUCGUAAACUUCUAUCAACAGGGACGAAAGAAAUAACGGUACCUGAAUAAGAAGCCCCGGCUAACUACUUGCCAGCAGCCGCGGUAAUACGGAGGGGGCAAGCGUUAUCCGGAAUUACUGGGUGUAAGGGGUGAGUAGGCGGCAUGGUAAGCCAGAUGUGAAAGCCUUGGGCUUAACCCGAGGAUUGCAUUUGGAACUAUCAAGCUAGAGUACAGGAGAGGAAAGCGGAAUUCCUAGUGUAGCGGUGAAAUGCGUAGAUAUUAGGAAGAACACCAGUGGCGAAGGCAGCUUUCUGGACUGAAACUGACGCUGAGGCACGAAAGCGUGGGGAGCGAACAGGAUUAGAUACCCCUGUAGUC